rnacentral:rRNA from 1 species
UCUGGUUGAUCCUGCCAGUAGUCAUAUGCUUGUCUCAAAGAUUAAGCCAUGCAUGUCUAAGUAUAAAUAGUAUACAGUGAAACUGCGAAUGGCUCAUUAAAACAGUUAUAGUUUAUUUGAUAAUUGACAAUUACAUGGAUAACCGUGGUAAUUCUAGAGCUAAUACAUGCUUAAACGCCCGACUUUAUGGAAGGGUGGUAUUUAUUAGACUGAAGCCAAUAUUCCUUGUGUCUAUUGCGGUGAUUCAUAAUAACUGAUCGAAUCUCUUUUUGAGAUAAAUCAUUCAAGUUUCUGCCCUAUCAGCUUUCGAUGGUAGUGUAUUGGACUACCAUGGCAGUAACGGGUAACGAAGAAUUAGGGUUCGAUUUCGGAGAGGGAGCAUGAGAAACGGCUACCACAUCUAAGGAAGGCAGCAGGCGCGUAAAUUACCCAAUCCUGACUCAGGGAGGUAGUGACAAGAAAUAGCAAACCGGGAACCUCAUGGUUCCACGGUAUUGCAAUGAGAACAAUUUAAAACCCUUAGCGAGAAUCAAGUGGAGGACAAGUCUGGUGCCAGCACCCGCGGUAAUUCCAGCUCCACUAGCGUAUAUUAAAGUUGUUGCAGUUAAAAAGCUCGUAGUUGAACCUCUGUCUGGGGCUAGUUUUGGCUUUGGUCAGGCUAGUUCUAGGCAUCCGCCUACAAGACUUAGAGGGCAUUCAGUUGUUCACUAGGAGGAGUAGGCAUUUUACUUUGAAAAAAUUAGAGUGUUUAAGGCAGGCAAUCGCCCGCAUAUAUUAGCAUGGAAUAAUAGAAUAGGACACUUUUCCAUUUCGUUGGUUAUUGGAAUCGUGUAAUGAUUAAUAGGGACAGUUGUGGGCAUUUGUAUUUAAUUGUCAGAGGUGGAAUUCUUGGAUUUAUUAAAGACAAACUAACGCGAAAGCAUUUGCCAAGGAUGUUUUCAUUAAUCAAGAACGAAAGUUAGGGGAUCAAAGACGAUCAGAUACCGUCCUAGUCUUAACUAAAAACUAUUCCGACUCAAUGUUUGACUGGCUUAUAUAACCAGUUGAGCGUUGUAUGAGAAAUCAAAGUCUUUAGGUUCUGGGGGGAGUAUGGUUGCAAAGCUGAAACUUAAAGGAAUUGACGGAAGAGCACAACCAGGAGUGGAUUCUGCGGCUUAAUUUGACUCAACACGGGGAAACUUACCAGGUUAAAACAAUAGUGGGAUUGACAGUUUGAGAGCGCUUUCUUGAUUGGUUGGGUGGUGGUGCAUGGCCGUUCUUAGUUGGUGGAGUGAUUUGUCUGCUUAAUUGCGUUAACGAACGAGACCUUAACCUGCUUACUAGACUGGCGAUCAUCAAUCGUUAGCUCUUCUUAGAGGGAC